rnacentral:rRNA from 1 species
UGGGGAAUCUUGCGCAAUGGGCGAAAGCCUGACGCAGCGACACCGCGUGAGUGAGGAAGGUCUUCGGAUUGUAAAGCUCUGUCGGCAGGAAAGAUGGAACAGGUGGUUAAUACCCAUUUGUUUUGACGGUACCUGCAAAGGAAGCACCGGCUAACUCUGUGCCAGCAGCCGCGGUAAUACGGAGGGAGCUAGCGUUGUUCGGAAUUACUGGGCGUAAAGCGUACGUAGGCGGUGACUCAAGUCAGAGGUGAAAGCCUGGAGCUCAACUCCAGAACUGCCUUUGAAACUAGGUCGCUAGAAUCACGGAGAGGUGAGUGGAAUUCCGAGUGUAGAGGUGAAAUUCGUAGAUAUUCGGAAGAACACCAGUGGCGAAGGCGGCUCACUGGACGUGUAUUGACGCUGAGGUACGAAAGCGUGGGGAGCAAACAGGAUUAGAUACCCGAGUAGUCCCUGAGCGGGCUGGCAAGGCGCAU